UACGUAGGGGGCAAGCGUUGUCCGGAUUUAUUGGGCGUAAAGAGCGUGUAGGCGGUUUGGUAGGUCCGCUGUGAAAACUCGAGCUCAACCUUGAGACGCCGGUGGAAACUAUCAGGCUAGAGUCCGGAAGAGGAGAGUGGAAUUCCUGGUGUAGCGGUGAAAUGCGCAGAUAUCAGGAAGAACACCCGUGGCUAAGGCGGCUCUCUAGUACGGUACUGACGCUGAGACGCGAAAGCGUGGGGAGCGAACAGG
rnacentral:rRNA from 1 species